rnacentral:rRNA from 1 species
GAUGAACGCUGGCGGCGUGCUUAACACAUGCAAGUCGAACGGAAAGGCUCCUGCUUGCAGGGGUACUCGAGUGGCGAACGGGUGAGUAACACGUGGGUGAUCUGCCCUGCACUUCGGGAUAAGCCUGGGAAACUGGGUCUAAUACCGGAUAGGACGAUGGUUUGGAUGCCAUUGUGGAAAGUUUUUUCGGUGUGGGAUGAGGUCGCGGCCUAUCAGCUUGUUGGUGGGGUAAUGGCCUACCAAGGCGUCGACGGGUAGCCGGCCUGGGAGGGUGUACGGCCAAAUUGGGACUGAGAUACGGCCCAGGCUCCUACGGGGGGCAGGAGGGGGGAAUAAUGGACAAUGGGCGGAAGCCUGAUGCAGCCAAGGCGCGUGGGGGAUGACGGCCCUCGGGUUGGAAAACGCUUUCGCCUGGGACGAAGCGUCAGUGACGGUAACCGGUAAAGAAGCACCGGCUAACUACGUG